AUUGAACGCUGGCGGAAUGCUUUACACAUGCCAGUCGAGCGGCAGCGCGGCCUUCGGGCUGGCGGCGAGCGGCGAACGGGUGAGUAAUGCAUCGGAACAUGCCCAGUCGUGGGGGAUAACACUUCGAAAGAAGUGCUAAUACCGCAUACGUCCUGAGGGGGAAAGCGGGGGAUCGCAAGACCUCGCGCGAUUGGAGUGGCCGAUGUCAGAUUAGCUAGUUGGUGGGGUAAAGGCCUACCAAGGCGACGAUCUGUAGCUGGUCUGAGAGGAUGAUCAGCCACACUGGGACUGAGACACGGCCCAGACUCCUACGGGAGGCAGCAGUGGGGAAUUUUGGACAAUGGGGGCAACCCUGAUCCAGCCAUGCCGCGUGAGUGAAGAAGGCCUUCGGGUUGUAAAGCUCUUUCGGCAGGAACGAAACGGUGGGCUCUAACAUAGUCCGCUAAUGACGGUACCUGAAGAAGAAGCACCGGCUAACUACGUG
rnacentral:rRNA from 1 species